rnacentral:rRNA from 1 species
UACGUAGGGUGCAAGCGUUAAUCGGAAUUACUGGGCGUAAAGCGUGCGCAGGCGGUUUUGUAAGUCAGAUGUGAAAUCCCCGGGCUUAACCUGGGAACUGUGUUUGAAACUACAAGGCUAGAGUGUGGCAGAGGGGGGUGGAAUUCCACGUGUAGCAGUGAAAUGCGUAGAGAUGUGGAGGAACACCGAUGGCGAAGGCAGCCCCCUGGGUUAACACUGACGCUCAGGCACGAAAGCGUGGGGAGCAAACAGG